CUACAGGAUGCUCCAGUGGGGAAUAUUGCACAAUGGGCGCAAGCCUGAUGCAGCCAUGCCGCGUGUAUGAAGAAGGCCUUCGGGUUGUAAAGUACUUUCAGCGGGGAGGAAGGGAGUAAAGUUAAUACCUUUGCUCAUUGACGUUACCCGCAGAAGAAGCACCGGCUAACUCCGUGCCAGCAGCCGCGGUAAUACGGAGGGUGCAAGCGUUAAUCGGAAUUACUGGGCGUAACGCGCACGCAGGCGGUUUGUUAAGUCAGAUGUGAAAUCCCCGGGCUCAACCUGGGAACUGCAUCUGAUACUGGCAAGCGUGAGUCUCGUAGAGGGGGGUAGAAUUCCAGGUGUAGCGGUGAAAUGCGUAGAGAUCUGGAGGAAUACCGGUGGCGAAGGCGGCCCCCUGGACGAAGACUGACGCUCAGGUGCGAAAGCGUGGGGAGCAAACAGGAUUAGAUACCCGCGUAGUC
rnacentral:rRNA from 1 species